ensembl:lncRNA
GGGAUGAGGGUCAAAGUACAAGACAAGUGGCAUUUCUAUUGCUUAUCUUAAAAUCUUACUGGACAGGGCAGAAAAGAGCCUGAAUGACUAUAUUUCAAAUUAUUCCAGUUAACAGAGAUUUUACAGGCAAUGUUUACAGGCUCCUUGGGCAUUUCGACUUUUUUAAUAAAUAUUUUUAUGAAGUGUUUUUAUAUAUUUAAACUUUUUCACAGAGGAAUUUUUGCUCUUUUACAGAAAUAUGCAACUAUUAAUCAAUAAAUAAUCCGUGAUUAGAAGACAGGAAGCAGCUAGUAAAGAGUUAGACCAGCUGCCUGAUAGCCUGGUGCUAUGGGCAGCUGGGAGGGGAAGCUUUUCAUCUCUUGGCUAUGGAAAGAGAAGAUGCAAGUAGAAAACUACAGACAUGGGGUUGUUCUAGAUGCUGGCAGUGACUUCUGCCCUGGCAGGGAGAAGGAGGAGCAGGGCUUUCCUAGGCAGUCUUCAGAGCAGGGACUGCAGCCUGAGCUUGGUAGCAAGGGUAUUUCACAUCCUUCAAUGUGAUGCCUGCUGGCAAUGAAGGCAAGACAAGUCCCUUGGGAAUAGGUGUUGGGGAACACUGGCAACUGGCUAAGCCAAAAUCUAAAACCAAAUAAAAACAAAACAAAAGGCAGAGGGGAACCCAACCUAGAGUGAAAGAAGGGUCAUAUGCCCUGUGAUCUGCAGAGUUAUGCUUCUCUAACGAUGCAGCUGAUGCUCAUUGCUACACCAGCCUUACUUUGCAGUUUCAGCAUGAUGCAGCACUUCCAUUUUGGUAUCAAAAUAACUGAGGAGCUAUGCAGGUUUAGUGUUUUAAAACUCAAAAUUAUGGGUUAAAUCUGGAGAAGGUUUGUAAUGGACCAGACUGUUCUACUCAGAAACAUCCCAUCUUAUGGAGUGGUUACUUUCCAGCAGGAUAACACUAAUUUGAAACCUGAACAGUAAAUUAUCAUAGUCAUAAUAAAUCAUUGUCUACAAAAUAUGUGAUAUGAUAUGAUCAUCACAAAAGCCAAGACCAAGUCCCUAUAUGAUCUUAACACGUGCCUUGGCCUGUUCAUGCAGGUUUUCUUGCUUGUAAAGUCCUUGGCUGACAGAGAUGUUUUAAGGCUUUAGUUUCUAAGAGCUUGUUGUGCAUUGAGAUAAACUGCUGCAAAAUGCUGUGUCAGGGGUUUUUAUUUAAUUUUUUAAAAAUCCACUUACCCCAAUAAAACAAACCGUUAUGAUACAUCAAAACCAACUAAAACAUGUUUUAAAAUUACUGUUUUCCAGGAAUGUUUUUAUUAGGAUUUUGUAGAAGCAAUUCUCUUGUUAAAGUAUUGGUAUGACCAUUGCUUUAUGGUCAUUUAAUUGACAUGUGAUUUCACAAAGAAUCUGCUGUUUUCUGCAUUCUGAUUUUUGUGUCAGAUUAAAAUUUUGCAGAAUCCUAAUAUUUUGGGAAGAAAAAAAAUCAGUGAAAUCAAAAAAAGUUCCAAAACAAAGUCGAUUUUUUUUUUUUAAUUUUUUUUUUUUCUCUUUUGUGGGGAGAAUUUUUUGUCAUGUGACCACCUCAUAACUUAGAGCAUAGCUCAUGGAAGGGUAUAUUUGGUAAUAUAUUUUGAGGGCGAUGUGGGAUUAAAAGGUUGAUCUGAAUAAACAAA